rnacentral:rRNA from 1 species
UUUCCCUCAGGAUAGCUGGCACUCGCUCGAGCGAGUCUCAUCUGGUAAAGCGAAUGAUUAGAGGCCUUGGGGCCGAAACGACCUCAACCUAUUCUCAAACUUUAAAUGGGUGAGAUCUCUGGCUUGCUUGAACAUUGAAGCCAUGAGAUUUUUCACGGAUCAGAGUGCCAAGUGGGCCAAUUUUGGUAAGCAGAACUGGCGCUGUGGGA